GAUGAMCGCUASCGGUAUGCUUAACACAUSCAAGUCGUACGGGAGUUUUUAACUCAAGUGGCGGACGGGUGAGUAACACGUGAGAAUUUACCYUUAGGAGGGGGAUAACAAUUGGAAACGAUUGCUAAUMCCCCAUAUGCUUUUUUAAGUGAAACGGAUUUAUCCSCCUAAAGAAAAGCUCGCGGCUGAUUAGCUAGUUGGUAAGGUAAUGGCUUACCAAGGCGAUGAUCAGUAUCUGGUUUGAGAGGASGAUCAGMCMCACUGGAACUGAGMCMCGGUCCAGACUCCUMCGGGAGSCACCAGUGGGGAAUUUUCCCCAAUGGGSGAAACCCUGACGGASCAAUMCCGCGUGAGGGAAGAAASCCUACUGGGUUGUAAMCCUCUUUUUUCAGGGAGGAMCAAAAUGACGUGUMCCUGAAGAAUAAGCAUSGGCUAACUCCGCG
rnacentral:rRNA from 1 species